rnacentral:rRNA from 1 species
UACGUAGGGUGCGAGCGUUAAUCGGAAUUACUGGGCGUAAAGCGUGCGCAGGCGGUUCUCCAAGUCCGUUGUGAAAGCCCCGGGCUCAACCUGGGAAUGGCAGUGGAAACUAGGGGACUGGAAUCUGGCAGAGGGGGGUGGAAUGCCGCGUGUAGCAGUGAAAUGCGUAGAGAUGCGGCGGAACACCGAUGGCGAAGGCAGCCCCCUGGGCUGAGAUUGACGCUCAGGUACGAAAGCGUGGGGAGCAAACAGG